rnacentral:rRNA from 1 species
AUUGAACGCUGGCGGCAGGCCUAACACAUGCAAGUCGAACGGUAACAGGAAGCAGCUUGCUGCUUCGCUGACGAGUGGCGGACGGGUGAGUAAUGUCUGGGAAGCUGCCUGAUGGAGGGGGAUAACUACUGGAAACGGUAGCUAAUACCGCAUAAUGUCGCAAGACCAAAGAGGGGGACCUUCGGGCCUCUUACCAUCGGAUGUGCCCAGAUGGGAUUAGCUUGUUGGUGGGGUAACGGCUCACCAAGGCGACGAUCCCUAGCUGGUCUGAGAGGAUGACCAGCCACACUGGAACUGAGACACGGUCCAGACUCCUACGGGAGGCAGCAGUGGGGAAUAUUGCACAAUGGGCGCAAGCCUGAUGCAGCCAUGCCGCGUGUAUGAAGAAGGCCUUCGGGUUGUAAAGUACUUUCAGCGGGGAGGAAGGGAGUAAAGUUAAUACCUUUGCUCAUUGACGUUACCCGCAGAAGAAGCACCGGCUAACUCCGUG